rnacentral:rRNA from 1 species
AAUAUUGGACUAUGGGGGCAACCCUGAUCCAGCCAUGCCGCGUGUGUGAAGAAGGUCUUCGGUUUGUAAAGCACUUUCAGCUGGGUGGAAGGGCUUUAGGCUAAUACCCUGAAGUUUUGACGUUACCAACAGAAUAUGCACCGCCUAACUCUGUGCCAGCAGCCGCGGUAAUGCAGAGGGUGCAAGCGUUAUUCGGAAUUACUGGGCGUAAAGCGCGCGUAAGUGGUUCAGUAAGAUGGGUGUGAAAUCCCCGGGCUUAACCUGGGAACUGCUUUCAUAACUGCUGAGCUAGAGUACGGUAGAGGGUAGUGGAAUUUCCUGUGUAGCGGUGAAAUGCGUAGAUAUAGGAAGGAACACCAGUGGCGAAGGCGACUACCUGGACUGAUACUGACACUGAGGUGCGAAAGCGUGGGGAGCAAACA